UAGGGAAUCUUCGGCAAUGGACGAAAGUCUGACCGAGCAACGCCGCGUGAGUGAAGAAGGUUUUCGGAUCGUAAAACUCUGUUGUUAGAGAAGAACAAGGACGUUAGUAACUGAACGUCCCCUGACGGUAUCUAACCAGAAAGCCACGGCUAACUACGUGCCAGCAGCCGCGGUAAUACGUAGGUGGCAAGCGUUGUCCGGAUUUAUUGGGCGUAAAGCGAGCGCAGGCGGUUUCUUAAGUCUGAUGUGAAAGCCCCCGGCUCAACCGGGGAGGGUCAUUGGAAACUGCGAGACUUGAGUGAAGAAGAGGAGAGUGGAAUUCAAUGUGUAGAGGUGAAAUGCGUAGAUAUAUGGAGGAACACCAGUAGCGAAGGCGGCUCUCUGGUCUGUAAAUGAAGCUGAGGCUCGAAAGCGUGGGGAGCAAACAGG
rnacentral:rRNA from 1 species